rnacentral:rRNA from 1 species
CGGCGGACGGGUGAGUAACGCGUAGGAAUCUACCCAGUAGUGGGGGACAACUUGGGGAAACCCAAGCUAAUACCGCAUACGCCCUACGGGGGAAAGCGGGGGCUCUUCGGACCUCGCGCUAUUGGAUGAGCCUGCGUCGGAUUAGCUAGUUGGUGGGGUAAAAGCCUACCAAGGCGACGAUCCGUAGCUGGUCUGAGAGGAUGAUCAGCCACACUGGAACUGAGACACGGUCCAGACUCCUACGGGAGGCAGCAGUGGGGAAUAUUGCGCAAUGGGGGCAACCCUGACGCAGCCAUGCCGCGUGUGUGAAGAAGGCCCUAGGGUUGUAAAGCACUUUCAAUUGGGAAGAAAAGCUCGUAGUUAAUAACUGCGAGCCCUGACAUUACCUUUAGAAGAAGCACCGGCUAACUCCGUGCCAGCAGCCGCGGUAAUACGGAGGGUGCGAGCGUUAAUCGGAAUUACUGGGCGUAAAGCGCGCGUAGGCGGUUUGUUAAGUCAGCUGUGAAAGCCCUGGGCUCAACCUGGGAACUGCAGUUGAUACUGGCCGACUAGAGUACGAGAGAGGGAGGUAGAAUUCCACGUGUAGCGGUGAAAUGCGUAGAUAUGUGGAGGAAUACCGGUGGCGAAGGCGGCCUCCUGGCUCGAUACUGACGCUGAGGUGCGAAAGCGUGGGGAGCAACAGGAUUAGAUACCCUGGUAG